AGAGUUUGAUCCUGGCUCAGAACGAACGUUGGCGGCGUGGAUUAGGCAUGCAAGUCGAACGCGAAAGAGGGGGCAACUCCUCGAGUAGAGUGGCGAAAGGGGCAGUAAUGCGUGGAUAACCUACCCCGAGGAUGGGCAUAGCCGUUCUAACGGACGGGUAAUUCCCAGCGUUGUAGCGAGGUCGCAUGGCCUUGCUAUUAAAUGAUUUAUCGCCUUGGGAGGGGUUCACGUGAUAUUAGCUAGUUGGUGAGGUAACGGCUCACCAAGGCAGAGAUGUCUAGCGGGUGUGAGAGCACGACCCGCGCCACUGGCACUGAGACACUGGCCAGACACCUACGGGUGGCUGCAGUCGAGGAUCUUCGGCAAUGAGCGCAAGCUUGACCGAGCGACGCCGCGUGCGCGAUGAAGGCCUUCGGGUUGUAAAGCGCUGUCGAGGGGGAGGAAGCUCCGCAAGGGGUUGACCUAUCCCUGGAGGAAGCACGGGCUAAGUUCGUGCCAGCAGCCGCGGUAAGACGAACCGUGCGAACGUUGUUCGGAUUCACUGGGCUUAAAGGGCGCGUAGGCGGCUUGCCAAGUCAGGGGUGAAAUCUUUCGGCUUAACCGGAAAAUAGCCUCUGAUACUGGCGAACUAGAGGGAGGUAGGGGUGCGUGGAACUUCUGGUGGAGCGGUGAAAUGCGUAGAUAUCAGAAGGAACGCCGGUGGCGAAAGCGACGCACUGGAUCUCUACUGACGCUGAGGCGCGAAAGCCAGGGGAGCGAACGGGAUUAGAUACCCUAGUAGUCC
rnacentral:rRNA from 1 species